rnacentral:tRNA from 1 species
GGGAGUAUAGCUCAGUGGUAGAGCACAUGCUUGACCUAUACAAGGUUCUGGGUUCAAUCCCCAGUGCCUCUG